GAUGACUGUGCUGGACCCUGACAGUUAUCAACAGCUGAUGCCUAAAGAGUAUGGGAACAGGGCAAAGCAUAUUUUGCAGCUGAGGCUCUGAAAUACUGGAGGACACUGCAUCUUCCUCAGGGACACGGACAAAGGGGAGCUGGAGCCUCUGGGGAGCUCAGAAAGGAGUUGUGGUUGGUGGUCGCCUGAGGAACUUACCUUCACACCAAUGUUGCUCUGAAACGAGUUGUGUCCAACAUUCAGGUUUGGUAAGAUGCCUCAGGAACAAUACGCACACCGGAGCACCAUGCAGACCUCGGAAGGACCCCAGGUAUACAAAGUGGGGAUUUAUGGCUGGAGGAAGAGAUGCCUCUAUUUCUUUGUGCUGCUCCUAAUGAUUUUAAUCCUGGUGAACCUUGCUAUGACCAUCUGGAUUCUGAAGGUUAUGAACUUCA